GAGGAAUAUUGCGCAAUGGGGGAAACCCUGACGCAGCGACGCCGCGUGAGUGAGGAAGGCCUUCGGGUCGUAAAGCUCUGUCAGAAGGGAAGAAGUGCGUAUAUGCUAAUACCAUAUACGUUUGACGGUACCU
rnacentral:rRNA from 1 species